CCUACGGGUGGCUGCAGUGAGGAAUAUUGGUCAAUGGGCGCGAGCCUGAACCAGCCAAGUCGCGUGAGGGAAGACGGCCCUACGGGUUGUAAACCUCUUUUGCCGGGGAGCAACGGGCGCCACGUGUGGCGCCACUGAGAGUACCCGGAGAAAAAGCAGCGGCUAACUCCGUACCAGCAGCCGCGGUAAUACGGAGGAUGCGAGCGUUAUCCGGAUGGAUUGGGUUUAAAGGGUGCGUAGGCGGAGCGUUAAGUCAGUGGUCAAAUUGAGGGGCUCAACCCCUUCCCUCCAUUGAAACUGGCGCUCUUGAGUGGACGAGCAGUAUGCGGAAUGCGUGGUGUAGCGGUGAAAUGCAUAGAUAUCACGCAGAACCCCGAUUGCGAAGGCAGCAUGCCGGCUUCCUACUGACGCUGACGCACGAACGCGUGGGGAUCGAACAGGAUUAGAUACCCUGGUAGUC
rnacentral:rRNA from 1 species